AUGAACGCUGGCGGCGUGCCUAAUACAUGCAAGUCGAGCGAACAGAUGAGGAGCUUGCUCCUCUGACGUUAGCGGCGGACGGGUGAGUAACACGUGGAUAACCUACCUAUAAGACUGGGAUAACUUCGGGAAACCGGAGCUAAUACCGGAUAAUAUAUUGAACCGCAUGGUUCAAUAGUGAAAGACGGUUUUGCUGUCACUUAUAGAUGGAUCCGCGCCGCAUUAGCUAGUUGGUAAGGUAACGGCUUACCAAGGCGACGAUGCGUAGCCGACCUGAGAGGGGGGUCGGCCACACUGGAACUGGGACGCGGUCCAGGCUCCUGCGGGAGGCAGCAGUAGGGAAUCUUCCGCAAAGGGCGAAAGCCUGACGGAGCAACGCCGCGUGAGUGAUGAAGGUCUUGGGAUCGUAAAACUCUGUUAUUAGGGAAGAACAAAUGUGUAAGUAACUAUGCACGUCUUGACGGUACCUAAUCAGAAAGCCACGGCUAACUACGUG
rnacentral:rRNA from 1 species